rnacentral:rRNA from 1 species
UUGUUGGGGUUGUAGGACUCCAAUAUGGUAGUCUGUUAGUAUAGUUGAAGGAUUUGGAAAAUUCCGCUAAAGAGGGUGAAAGCCCCGUAGACGAAAUGCUAACAACACCUAGGAGGAUCCUGAGUACGGCGGAACACGAGAAAUUCCGUCGGAAUCCGCGGGGACCAUCCCGCAAGGCUAAAUACUCCCUAGUGACCGAUAGUGAACCAGUACCGUGAGGGAAAGGUGAAAAGCACCCCGGAAGGGGAGUGAAAUAGAUCCUGAAACCGUGUGCCUACAACAAGUCAAAGCUCGUUAAUGAGUGAUGGCGUGCCUUUUGUAGAAUGAACCGGCGAGUUACGAUUGCAUGCGAGGUUAAGUCGAAGAGACGGAGCCGCAGCGAAAGCGAGUCUGAAUAGGGCGAAUGAGUAUGUAGUCGUAGACCCGAAACCAUGUGAUCUACCCAUGUCCAGGUUGAAGGUGCGGUAAAACGCACUGGAGGACCGAACCCACGUACGUUGAAAAGUGCGGGGAUGAGGUGUGGGUAGCGGAGAAAUUCCAAACGAACUUGGAGAUAGCUGGUUCUCUCCGAAAUAGCUUUAGGGCUAGCCUCGGAAUUGAGAAUGAUGGAGGUAGAGCACUGUUUGGACUAGGGGCCCAUCUCGGGUUACCGAAUUCAGAUAAACUCCGAAUGCCAUUCAUUUAUAUCCGGGAGUCAGACUGCGAGUGAUAAGAUCCGUAGUCGAAAGGGAAACAGCCCAGACCACCAGCUAAGGUCCCAAAAUAUAUGUUAAGUGGAAAAGGAUGUGGGGUUGCACAGACAACUAGGAUGUUGGCUUAGAAGCAGCCACCAUUUAAAGAGUGCGUAAUAGCUCACUAGUCGAGUGACCCUGCGCCGAAAAUGUACCGGGGCUAAACAUAUUACCGAAGCUGUGGACUACACCAUUAGGUGUAGUGGUAGGAGAGCGUUCUAAGGGCGUUGAAGGUCGAUCGUGAGGACGGCUGGAGCGCUUAGAAGUGAGAAUGCCGGUAUGAGUAGCGAAAGACAGGUGAGAAUCCUGUCCACCGUAUGACUAAGGUUUCCUGGGGAAGGCUCGUCCGCCCAGGGUUAGUCGGGACCUAAGCCGAGGCCGAUAGGCGUAGGCGAUGGACAACAGGUUGAUAUUCCUGUACCAGUUGUUUUUGUUUGAGCAAUGGAGGGACGCAGUAGGCUAAGGAAUGCAUGCGAUUGGAAGUGCAUGUCCAAGCAAUGAGUCUUGAGUAGAGUUAAAUGCUUUACUCUCUAAGGACAAGUUGUGACGGGGAGCGAAAUAAUAGUAGCGAAGUUCCUGAUGUCACACUGCCAAGAAAAGCUUCUAGUGAGAAAACAACUGCCCGUACCGUAAACCGACACAGGUAGUCGAGGAGAGUAUCCUAAGGUGAGCGAGCGAACUCUC